rnacentral:lncRNA from 1 species
GUCCGAUGAGGGGUUCGAAUGUAGGCAAUUGGUUGAGCUGUCAGUCUCGCGCAGGAGCAAGCUUGGCAAAUGCUUGGAUUGAUAUUCCGCUGUUAAGUUCGGAAGACUUGUCCGUGGUUAGGGCUUGGGGAAGGCUUGCCUAUCUUCGAGCAGAAAGGGGGCGCCGCACGGGCUUUACGAAGAAAAAAGUUUUGUUCGUAACAGUUUGGUUCAUAAUCAGAAUAGAAAUGAAAAAUAUAGUUGGAUUUCAUUGAAAUGGAAAAUAUAAUGGAUAUAUAGAAUUUUGAGAGAAAAUUUUGUUCAAGAGAGAGGAGAGUAAUGAAGGGAAAUGAGGGAGAGAUAUUCGCAGGAGAUAAUUUUGAAUGGUUUACUUCUGAAAUAGGCUAAUUCGGAAUUUAAAGCCAAAUUGAGUUAAAAAUGAAUUGGAUCAUUCCCAGUCUAAAGUGAAAUAAAAAUUAAAAUUCGAUUGUAUAAAAUAAAAAAUAACUAUCGAAAUUAAUAAAUUUUAUUCUGAUUUCAUAGUUUAAAAUAAAUGAACCAAAUAAUUCCUUAUUUUUUUAAAUUAAUAUUUUUCUAAUAUUUGAUUAUUUUUAUUUAUUUUAAAAUACUUUUAAUUAAACUUAAUUAUCAGCUUCACAAAAGGUAUUCAUAAACACCAAACUCAACAAUAUCAAAAUUUUA